UCCAUAAACUGAGAAUCUGAAACUUUGAACUGAAUAUCAGUUUCUAAAAUGGAUUUGCCGGAAGGUAUCGGUCGGUUUCGCGUCGAACUAGACGAGUCGUAUCGGCCUCUCCCGUCAGUGUGCCUUGCGUUACUGACCAUCUGGUUGCUCUCUGCUUUUUCUUGGACUAUCAACACUUACAAAAACCGACACUUUCAGAUGAACAACCUGCAGUGGAUGCUGGCAUCUGUACCUUUGAUCAAAGCUGUGCAGCUCAUGCUUUCAUUUCUCUUUUGGUAUUCAUGCGUUUACCAUGAAAUAUGCUCGCUGUGGUUGUCAUUUGGGGUGUAUAUAACUGGCGUGCUUUUCCAAACAGCUUCUUUAGUGUCUUUUUUGCUCAUCUCUCAUGGUUACUGCAUCAUGUGUGAGCGUCUUUCAGCAACUGAGCGCCGUGCUACAGCUGCUCUUGGCUUUGUCUUUUACUUGUCCCUUGUAGGGUACAAAGCUUCUGUACCAUAUUUCACAGUUCUGCUGCUGCUGAAUUAUUUAAUUUCCUUCUAUCUGAUUUUCCACCUGAUAGCUCAAAAUCUAUCAGUUUUGAGUGAACAGCUAACCUUUAUAGAGGAUGAGGAUGUUCGAGAUAUGCAUGAUGCGGUGUAUACAAAGUAUAUUAUGUUCAAGAAAUUUCAGGGUGCAAUGCAAGUAGCAGCGAUAGCUGAAACUGUGGUGGACAUUUCGGUCAAAAGGCUUAGCUCCUCGAUUCUUUGUGAUGCCAACCAUAAAAUCUCAGGGGGAUAUGACGGUGCCUCCAGUUUACAGUGUUGUAAGUGGUAUCCCAUAUUUGGGCCUGAGACAAUAUUCCACAGUUUUGCUAAUGGAUCCUUUGCUUUGCUGUAGUAGAUAUUGAGAUCUGUAGAUUAGGGAAAUCAUUUUCCUCCUUGAUGCAUCUACUAUUUUAGUUUUCAUGGCGUAAAAGGGUUGAUUUUGGCUGUAAUGGAGCCUUUCAGUCCUAGUUAUUUACUUCACCCAAUACAUAGCCAAUACGUUCCUUAUAUGCUAACAAUCAGUAUGAGCUUUUGGAUUUGGCCGAGAUUAGCAUGAAAGACAAAUUUUCGUUUCAAAAUGCUCCAUGUUGCUCUAUCAUCUAUGCCGUGAUUUCCUAGUCCAGCAACAUAAGAAGAGUGUUCUGUUUUGCGUGUUGCCAUUCUAAUCACCUAUUGUUAUGUCAAAGAUUGGGCUAGAUGUUUGCCUCAUAUUCUGCAUUUCAUCUUAGGUUUUGUGGAGUGCUUUUGCCAGACACUAUGUCUCUCUUAUCCGAUGACCCAUCUGCUAAGACAAACUUCUAUUGCAGGAAAUGGACGCAGCCACUUUUAAAGAUUUUAAUUGUAACGAAUGGCACAUUGGAGUGCCAAUUUCUUCUUCUUGUGAUAAAAGCUCCAUGGAUUCAAUUGUAGUGGUAAUUCAGCAUCCUCAUCCACUAAGACUGCCAACUGCCACUACA